UGGCAGCCGAUGAAGUUGACUGCGCUCUUUUCCCCGAUGGGGGGGCCCUGUGCGCAACGGCUGCAAAGAGCAGCCCCCUGGGUAUAGUGUGUGCAGCCUGUUGCCUGUAUGGGUUGCCCUAAGGGACCUUGGAGACAGCC